UCCUAACUGUGGGGCCUCAGGUCUAUUUAAGUAAUUAAGCCCUGCUUCAGUUUCUUCACUGGCAAAAUGGAGAUCAUACUAAGUGAAUGCCUGUAAAAUAGGAGACUAAUGCUAGUGAUAUUACCAGGCACAUAGUAAGCUGCCUGUUAUCAUUAAUAAUUCCUCUUUUUUUUUUUUGAGACAGGGUUCCUGGCUGUCCUGGAACUCACUCUGUAGACCAGGCUGGCCUCGCCUCUCAAGUGCUGGGAUUAAAGGCAUGAGCCACCACUACCUGGCAACAAUUCCUCUUAUUGGACAUUAAACAUUGAUUAUGAGGUUUGCAAUCAUGAAGACAAUAUCUAAACUCUUAAGAACAAUGAAUCCUUCAGCAUGGUGCACUUAAGAUUUAGCUAAUUUCAGGGGUGUGCAUAAGUCCCGGGGGGAGUCCAGUAUGGCUAAAGGUGAGUGCAGUCUCUUCUCCCUUGGGGGUCAGGGGAUCCUUUAAUGUGGAGAAGCCCAGGGAACUGCCUCUGCCCUGGCCUACCUCCCCCACCUUGACCCCUCAGCUGAUCUCUGCAUAGCUGACUGGCCCUGUCCUAAGGCACUUUGGGGUACUUGUCCCCAGACUGGUAUGCUAAUUCUGGAGAAGUGUUAGCUUCCUGUCUAAAUCUGCUCGCAGCUCACACCUCACAUCUCCUGUUCUGUUUCCUUCCUAAUUUGUCAUCAUGUAGGUCUGUGCAGAACCUCACUUGGAGGAAGUUCCUUCUCCUCCCCUGUGUCCUCAGCCAAAUGUGUGCAGUCUGUCCUUGGCCAAGGCACAGCCUCUUCUGGGCCCUGUUGUGUGAGGCAAAGAGCAGCUCCUGGGAGGGGCAGCUCCGUGCUUCCUGAGAGCCUCUUCCACUCUCUGGGGAUGGGAGGCUGAUGUUGUCUCGCGCCCACUCUGCUCAGCAGAGGUCCUGCUCUGGGAAGCUGGGAAGCUUGCUCAGAUGGGGUGCACUUCAGAUGUGUCUGGAGGGACAUGGAUGUCCAUUGCAAGUGCUGUUCUUGGUGGCAUGUUACGUUUACUUUCUGCGUGGAUGUGUGUGGGUAUGAGUGGAUGUGUGUUUGUGUGUAGUUCUGCUCACACACAUAUAUGCGUGAUCACACAGCACUUUCUCUUUCUCAGUAUUUGCUGAAAAUGAACUGCUUGGGCUAUCAGAAGUAUUCCUAAUUGGAAUUUUUAUGGUCAUUCUUUAUUCUGUUCUUUGAGACAACCAGCCACCUCUGGAGCCAUUUGUGUUUCUCUGUAGGUGUAGGAAGCUAGAAACCAGAGCUACACGAUUUGUCCUGAAAAGAGACUUGGGCAAGGGACUCAGGCAGCUCCCGUAAGAUGUACCAACCAAGCUCCCCCUGCUUCAUGUGGUUAUUAGGAGACUCAAGGAAACUUCUAAGUUUAUUUGCUCUAAAGUUGUUCUUAAAGGUAAACUGUGGUAGGUAUGAGGCAUUUUUUUCACUAUGUAAUACCUAUAUAGUAAAUAUUCAAUUAGUAAUUUUUUUCCUAAAUUGAGACAUGAAUUAACUCUUUGCUCUUUUUAAAAACAGUUUUAAAUGUUGCUGACUAAAAAGCAAUAUAUAUUCACUCAAAACAUCUGAGAUGCUAUGAAUUAUUAAUAUGUUGGUAUAUAUUCACAUUUUCUGAGCAUAUGCACACAAAGAGGCGAGCACAUUUUAUAGCAAUUUACAUAUCACUUGCUCUUUCCAUACGGCUGCUUAUGUGCAUCUUCUUAGGCAGCCGCUGUUAGUCCAGAUGUGUAGAUGAACCGUGGUUUGCUAGACUGACUCCUGGUGCCGGUUUUCAAUUUUCUGCUUGUACAAAUGAUGCUGAUGCUUCAUUUUUGCUGUAAAAACUUCCCAGAAUCCACAUUCCUGAGCAAUUGUGUUCUAGUCUGAGACUGUAACCUACCCUCACCCCUCACUUCAAUGCUUUUCUCUUGAGCCUAUUCAAAGUAGUUACAUGAAAUGUCUGAGGACCUUAUUAUAAUACAAUUUCCUUGUGGUCCAGCACAGUGAUAUUUUGUGAAUUAAUAAUGCAUCAAUAAUUCAUGUCAAAUGUGAACCUUUUAGUGUAAUAAUGGUAUGUAAUGAGCAUUCAGCAAACAUUUAUCCAACCCUUACUGCUUAAUCAGCUCCGUACUGUUUUUUAAGGCUGUAGAGAUGAAUAAAGUUCAGGAAUUUUCCCCAACACACCUAGUUUAGUGGGAGCAACAGAUGCAGAAACAAAUAAUUUUAAAUCAUUAUGGCCUGUUUCAGUAUAUUGGAUGUGUCCUCC
rnacentral:lncRNA from 1 species